GUCUUCGUGGCUCAGUUGGUUAGAGCGUUGGUCUCAUAACUUGACCCAAUCAAACGUUGGGAUAUCCAAAGGUCGUGAGUUCGAGUCUCACCGAGGACA